UUAACACAUGCAAGUCGAGCGGGGAAGAGUAGCUUGCUACUUUACCUAGCGGCGGACGGGUGAGUAAUGCUUAGGAAUCUGCCUAUUAGUGGGGGACAACAUCUCGAAAGGGAUGCUAAUACCGCAUACGUCCUACGGGAGAAAGCAGGGGACCUUCGGGCCUUGCGCUAAUAGAUGAGCCUAAGUCGGAUUAGCUAGUUGGUGGGGUAAAGGCCUACCAAGGCGACGAUCUGUAGCGGGUCUGAGAGGAUGAUCCGCCACACUGGGACUGAGACACGGCCCAGACUCCUACGGGAGGCAGCAGUGGGGAAUAUUGGACAAUGGGGGGAACCCUGAUCCAGCCAUGCCGCGUGUGUGAAGAAGGCCUUUUGGUUGUAAAGCACUUUAAGCGAGGAGGAGGCUACCGAGAUUAAUACUCCUGGAUAGUGGACGUUACUCGCAGAAUAAGCACCGGCUAACUCUGUGCCAGCAGCCGCGGUAAUACAGAGGGUGCAAGCGUUAAUCGGAUUUACUGGGCGUAAAGCGCGCGUAGGUGGCCAAUUAAGUCAAAUGUGAAAUCCCCGAGCUUAACUUGGGAAUUGCAUUCGAUACUGGUUGGCUAGAGUAUGGGAGAGGAUGGUAGAAUUCCAGGUGUAGCGGUGAAAUGCGUAGAGAUCUGGAGGAAUACCGAUGGCGAAGGCAGCCAUCUGGCCUAAUACUGACACUGAGGUGCGAAAGCAUGGGGA
rnacentral:rRNA from 1 species